AAAACUCUAGCUGAUUUCUACCAAUCAUUCAGUAAUUUCUUGGAACGAGCGAAGCGCCUAAAACACAAUAAGGACUGCAAAGCUUCUCAGCAAAAUGUUAGACAGUGGUGACAGCCCUGGUCACACUUGACAGAGGGUUAUCGGUAUGAUUAGCUUGUCAAACUUUGGACGUCACAAGAAGAGCUGCCUAGUCAUUAAGAUAGAAAAAAGUCGGCCGGAAGAAAACUCGGAGUCUUAGAAAAAGACAUUACCAAGAAAAAUCAGUCGAAAGAAGAGCCAAAGAGUUCGGCAGAAAGGCUGUCGGUAGAACAGACAUCAAUAAAUUUGCAUCUCGUUGAAAAAAAGUUUCAGCAGCUAUCAAAGAUGAGCUUAGUCGCUGUGCAUGUGGCGGACGGGGAUUUCGAAUGCUCCUGCGACGACAUCGUCAGCGCCAUUAUGACUGGAAGAGCCAAGCUGCUCCUAAUCGCCAAGUCGACUCCCACCUGGCUGAGCGCCCAGCUUAUGCAUCUCGCAGAUAUAUGGCACUGCCCCCAUAUGAGCUACGCCCACAGUCUGAUUAAGAUCGUCAAUAGCCAUGGCAUCGUGGUCCGGACCCGUUACAUUGUCUUCACUGAUGCCAAGGCUGCCUCCGAUAUUCUGACUCUGGCAUCUUAAUAAACUAUAAUAAUAAUAAACUAAUUAAUUCGAUAGAAAUGUA
rnacentral:sRNA from 1 species